AUUGAACGCUGGCGGCAGGCCUAACACAUGCAAGUCGAGCGGAUGAGGGAAGCUUGCUUCCCGAUUUAGCGGCGGACGGGUGAGUAAUGCCUAGGAAUCUGCCUAUUAGUGGGGGAUAACGUUCCGAAAGGAACGCUAAUACCGCAUACGUCCUACGGGAGAAAGUGGGGGAUCUUCGGACCUCACGCUAAUAGAUGAGCCUAGGUCGGAUUAGCUAGUUGGUGGGGUAACGGGUCACCAAGGCGACGAUCCGUAGCUGGUCUGAGAGGAUGAUCAGCCACACUGGAACUGAGACACGGUCCAGACUCCUACGGGAGGCAGCAGUGGGGAAUAUUGGACAAUGGGCGAAAGCCUGAUCCAGCCAUGCCGCGUGUGUGAAGAAGGUCCUCGGAUUGUAAAGCACUUUAAGUUGGGAGGAAGGGUUGUAAGCUAAUAUCUUGCAGCUUUGACGUUACCAACAGAAUAAGCACCGGCUAACUCUGUGCCAGCAGCCGCCGUAAAAC
rnacentral:rRNA from 1 species